rnacentral:rRNA from 1 species
GAUGAACGCUGGCGGCGUGCCUAACACAUGGCAAGUCGAGCGAAGAAGAAGAAGCUAGAAGCCUUCGGGCGGAAAGCGAAUCGGAUUAGCGGCGGACGGGUGAGUAACACGUGAGGAACCUGCCUCUCACAAGGGGAUAGCCUCGGGAAACCGGGAUUAAUACCCUAUGAGACUGCGCACACGCAUGAGUGAGCAGUGAAAGAAGAUCGGUGAGAGAUGGCCUCGCGUCCCAUUAGCUAGUUGGAGAGAUAAAAGCUCCCCAAGGCGACGAUGGGUAGCCGGCCUGAGAGGGUGACCGGCCACACUGGAACUGAGACACGGUCCAGACUCCUACGGGAGGCAGCAGUGGGGAAUAUUGCACAAUGGGCGAAAGCCUGAUGCAGCGACGCCGCGUGAGCGAAGAAGGCCUUCGGGUCGUAAAGCUUUGUCCUUGGGGAAAGAGAAGAGACGGUACCCCGAGGAGGAAGCCCCGGCUAACUACGUGCCAGCAGCCGCGGUAAUACGUAGGGGGCGAGCGUUAUUCCGGAAUUUAUUGGGCGUAAAGGGUUCGCAGGCGGUCUUACAAAGUCAGUUGUGAAAGCCCGAGGCUCAACCUCGGUAAGCAGAUGAAACGGUAAGACUUGAGUUAAGGAGAGGGAAGUGGAAUUCCUAGUGUAGCGGUGAAAUGCGUAGAUAUUAGGAGGAAUACCAGUGGCGAAGGCGACUUUCUGGCCUUAAACUGACGCUGAGGAACGAAAGCGUGGGUAGCAAACAGGAUUAGAUACCCUGGUAGUCCACGUUGUAAACGAUGAGUGCUAGGUGUUGGGAGUCAAAUCUCGGUGCCGCAGCUAACGCAAUAAGCACUCCGCCUGGGGAGUACGUGCGCAAGCAUGAAACUCAAAGGAAUUGACGGGGACCCGCACAAGCAGCGGAGCAUGUGGUUUAAUUCGAAGCAACGCGAAAAACCUUACCAGGACUUGACAUAAAGAGGGCGAAUGUAGAGAUACAUUUUUUUCUUCGGAAACCUUUUUACAGGUGGUGCAUGGUUGUCGUCAGCUCGUGUCGUGAGAUGUUGGGUUAAGUCCCGCAACGAGCGCAACCCUUGCCUUUAGUUGCCAUCAUUGAGUUGGGCACUCUAGAGGGACUGCCGAUGAUAAAUCGGAGGAAGGUGGGGAUGACGUCAAAUCAUCAUGCCCUAGAUGUCCUGGGCUACACACGUGCUACAAUGGUCGGAAACAACGAGCAGCGACCUGGCGACAGGAAGCGAAUCUCCCAAAGCCGAUCUCAGUUCGGAUUGCAGGCUGCAACUCGCCUGCAUGAAGUCGGAGUUGCUAGUAAUCGCGGAUCAGCAUGCCGCGGUGAAUGCGUUCCCGGGUCU